rnacentral:rRNA from 1 species
CGUAAUAGCUCACUGGUCGAGUCGGCCUGCGCGGAAGAUGUAACGGGGCUAAACCAUGCACCGAAGCUGCGGCAGCGACACUAUGUGUUGUUGGGUAGGGGAGCGUUCUGUAAGCCUGUGAAGGUGUGCUGUGAGGCAUGCUGGAGGUAUCAGAAGUGCGAAUGCUGACAUAAGUAACGAUAAAGCGGGUGAAAAGCCCGCUCGCACCGAAAC